CUCAUUAAACCCCCCCCUCAGUUAUAGUUUAUCUGAUGGUCUCUUUGUUCUUCUUUUUACCUACUUGGAUAACCGUGGUAAUUCUAGAGCUAAUACAUGCGCAAGGUCCCGAGCGCGGGGGGUGGGGCUUCACGGCCCUGUCCUCGCAUGCGCAGAGGGAUGUAUUUAUUAGGUUAAAACCAGCGGCAGGGGUCAGCAAUGGCCCCCUGCCAAACACUCCUGGUGAUUCAUAGUAACUCUUUCGGAUCGCAUUCAUG
rnacentral:rRNA from 1 species